ensembl:misc_RNA Metazoa_SRP Metazoan signal recognition particle RNA
GCUGGGCAUGGUGGUGCAUGCCUAUGGUCCCAGCUGCUUGGGAGGCUGAGAUGGGAGGAUCGCUUGAGCCCAGGAGAUGGAGGUUGCAGUGAGCCAUGAUGGCACCACUGCACUCUAGCCUGGGCAACAGAAUGAGACCCUCUCUCUC